GGCGCGGCCCACCCUUCGAUAAACUCAGGAGGGCCGACGGCCGGUCGGCCUUGCGAAGCUUUGCUUCGGGGGUGGACUUCUGGAUCGCGUAGCAGCGUUUGCGUCGGUAUCUGGGCUUGUAGCUCAGUUGCUUAGAGCACACGCUUGAUAAGCGUGGGGUCGGAGGUUCAAGUCCUCCCAGGCCCACCAUGUUACAUGAUAAGGGGCCGUAGCUCAGCUGGGAGAGCACCUGCUUUGCAAGCAGGGGGUCGUCGGUUCGAUCCCGUCCGGCUCCACCAUCGUGUUUUGGUGUAGAGACGGAUAUUGGCAAUCAACGAAAGAAAGAAACAAGUUUGCGGACUUUUAUGAAAGUCUGCCUGUUCUGUAUGAAAUCGUGAAGAGAAGAUGUAAUCGGAUCAACUAUCCAGUUGAUGUCGCAAGAGCUUGCUCAAGCCUUGCAUUAUGAUUGAUGUGUUUAACCGCCAUCACCGAUUGU
rnacentral:tRNA from 1 species